rnacentral:rRNA from 1 species
AAGGCUUGACAUAACCGAGAACGCCGCAGAAAUGUGGAACUCUUUGGACACUCGGUUACAGGUGGUGCAUGGUUGUCGUCAGCUCGUGUCGUGAGAUGUUGGGUUAAGUCCCGCAACGAGCGCAACCCUCGUCGUAUGUUGCCAGCACGUAAUGGUGGGAACUCAUAUGAGACUGCUGGGGUCAACUCGGAGGAAGGUGGGGAUGACGUCAAAUCAUCAUGCCCCUUAUGUCUUGGGCUUCACGCAUGCUACAAUGGCCGGUACAAAGGGCUGCGAUGUCGUAAGGCGGAGCGAAUCCCAAAAAGCCGGUCUCAGUUCGGAUUGAGGUCUGCAACUCGACCUCAUGAAGUCGGAGUCGCUAGUAAUCGCAGAUCAGCAACGCUGCGGUGAAUACGUUCCC